UGACAGUUCACUGACUGCUCUACAGAAUUUGGACCCGUGCAUACCCACAGUUGCUAGGCUGAAACCAGCUUAUCAUUGUGAUGACUUCCAAUAGACUAUGGUCCUCCAGAAUUACAUGACUCAAUUGUUCAUCUUUUAGAGCAAAGAAGAGGUACCACAUGAGCUGAAAUGGGAGCCAUUGUUUGGAGUCAUUGCCAGAUUGACUAUAAAUUCACAAUCUCCAAAUAAACCUGUCCAUUCUGC